CCCGGUCAACGCGCCAACAUGGCCAAUAGCAGGACGGCAUGGCAGCGCUCUUUUUUAAUAUAUAUUUUAGAAGGCGUUAAAUAAAUGAAUUGGCAUUGCGCCCCAGUGGUAAAACACUUGGUAUUUGAAGCAAAGGUCUGGGGUUCGAAUCCCCCUCGCCCCAGGCCUUUUGGCAUUUAUUUGGAAACAAGGCAAGGCAAUUGCUACAGUAAACACAAUGCAGAAAACACAUUACAGUAAACAUAUUGCCCAGUAUCAUGUGGCAGAAGAAAAAAAAAAA
rnacentral:lncRNA from 1 species